rnacentral:rRNA from 1 species
UACAGAGGGGGCAAGCGUUGUUCGGAAUUACUGGGCGUAAAGGGCGCGUAGGCGGCCGCCUAAGUCAGACGUGAAAUCCCUCGGCUCAACCGGGGAACUGCGUCUGAUACUGGGUGGCUUGAAUGCGGGAGAGGGAUGCGGAAUUCCAGGUGUAGCGGUGAAAUGCGCAGAUAUCAGGAAGAACACCCGUGGCGAAGGCGGCUCUCUGGGACGGUACUGACGCUGAGACGCGAAAGCGUGGGGAGCAAACAGG